rnacentral:rRNA from 1 species
AUUGAACGCUGGCGGCAGGCCUAACACAUGCAAGUCGAACGAGUGGCGGACGGGUGAGUAAUGUCUGGGAAACUGCCUGAUGGAGGGGGAUAACUACUGGAAACGGUAGCUAAUACCGCAUACCAUCAGAUGUGCCCAGAUGGGAUUAGCGAGUUGGGGGGGUAACGGCUCACCAAGGCGACGCUCCCUAGCUGGCCUGAGAGGAGGACCAGCCACACUGGAACUGAGACACGUGCCAGACUCCUACGUGAGGCAGCAGUGGGGAAUAUUGCACAAGGGGCGCAAGCCUGAUGCAGCCAUGCCGCGUGUAUGAAGAAGGCCUUCGGGUUGGAAAGUACUGUCAGUGGGGAGGCGUUACCCGCAGAAGAAGCACCGGCUAACUCCGUGCCAGCAGCCGCGGUAAUAC